UCUGCAAAGACGACGAGAGGCAGGCCUGCUGGUCCCCCACUGCUCGCUCUGGAGGAAUGAUAUUCCCAUCACAACUCCUGCUGUAAUCACUUCUACUAAUCUUGCUCUCCCUCCUUCCCAUGUAGAUUCGCCAGAUCAUUACACAGGUUAGCUCUCCCCCGCCUGCCCACCAGUCGCAGGAUUCAAACAACGAGCCUCAAAUUAUGCUGAGAAUAAAUGGAGAUAAACAGCGAACCCAAGGAGAUAAAUAAGACGAACACCUUGAAAAGGAACCAGGAAGAAGGUCCAUAGCCCGUAUCCUGCUCCUCCAAAAGCUGUCUCCUUCUCUCAGGAGUGCCUUGCCUGUUUGCUGUUGGAUUCACUGUCUGGAGGAACACGGCUGGCACGGGAGGUGGUGAUCAGAGAAGAGGAAGGAGGUCUUGCAG